GGCCCCGUAGCUCAGUUGGCUAGAGCGUUUAAUGUACUCAAGCCUUCUCCUUGCUGGCGUGAGUUCGAAUCCCACCGAGGCCG
rfam:Schistocephalus solidus strain NST_G2 genome assembly, scaffold: SSLN_scaffold0004994